GACAGAGGGUGCAAACGUUGUUCGGAAUUACUGGGCGUAAAGCGCGUGCAGGCGGCUCGGCAAGUCGGGUGUGAAAGCCCUGGGCUUAACCUAGGAAGUGCACUCGAAACUGCCAAGCUUGAGUUCUGGAGAGGAAGGCGGAAUUCUCGGUGUAGAGGUGAAAUUCGUAGAUAUCGAGAGGAACACCGGUGGCGAAGGCGGCCUUCUGGACAGCAACUGACGCUGAGACGCGAAAGCGUGGGGAGCAAACAGG
rnacentral:rRNA from 1 species